rnacentral:rRNA from 1 species
UACACAGGUCCCAAGCGUUGUUCGGAUUCACUGGGCGUAAAGGGUGCGUAGGUGGCCGGGUAAGUCCGAUGUGAAAUCCCGCAGCUUAACUGCGGAAUGGCAUUGGAUACUAUUCGACUAGAGGGUUGGAGGGGGGACUGGAAUUCUCGGUGUAGCAGUGAAAUGCGUAGAUAUCGAGAGGAACACCAGUGGCGAAGGCGAGUCCCUGGACAGCUCCUGACGCUGAGGCACGAAAGCUAGGGGAGCAAACAGG